CGCGUAGGCGGCAGUGUAUGUCAGAUGUGAAAUACUCCGGCUCAACCAGAGAACAGCAUCUGAAACUGCACGGCUAGAGUACAGAAGAGGGAAACGGAAUUCCCGGUGUAGAGGUGAAAUUCGUAGAUAUCGGGAGGAACACCAGUGGCGAAGGCGGUUUCCUGGUCUGAUACUGACGCUGAGGCGCGAAAGCGUGGGGAGCAAACAG
rnacentral:rRNA from 1 species